rnacentral:rRNA from 1 species
GUAGGUGACCUGCGGAGGGAUCAUUACACAAAUAUGAAGGCGGGCUGGAACCUCUCGGGGUUACAGCCUUGCUGAAUUAUUCACCCUUGUCUUUUGCGUACUUCUUGUUUCCUUGGUGGGUUCGCCCACCACUAGGACAAACAUAAACCUUUUGUAAUUGCAAUCAGCGUCAGUAACAAAUUAAUAAUUACAACUUUCAACAACGGAUCUCUUGGUUCUGGCAUCGAUGAAGAACGCAGCGAAAUGCGAUAAGUAGUGUGAAUUGCAGAAUUCAGUGAAUCAUCGAAUCUUUGAACGCACAUUGCGCCCUUUGGUAUUCCAAAGGGCAUGCCUGUUCGAGCGUCAUUUGUACCCUCAAGCUUUGCUUGGUGUUGGGCGUCUUGUCUCUAGCUUUGCUGGAGACUCGCCUUAAAGUAAUUGGCAGCCGGCCUACUGGUUUCGGAGCGCAGCACAAGUCGCACUCUCUAUCAGCAAAGGUCUAGCAUCCAUUAAGCCUUUUUUUCAACUUUUGACCUCGGAUCAGGUAGGGAUACCCGCUGAACUUAAGCAUAUCAA